rnacentral:rRNA from 1 species
GAUGAACGCUGGCGGCGUGCCUAAUACAUGCAAGUCGAGCGAACAGACGAGGAGCUUGCUCCUCUGACGUUAGCGGCGGACGGGUGAGUAACACGUGGAUAACCUACCUAUAAGACUGGGAUAACCUCGGGAAACCGGAGCUAAUACCGGAUAUUAUAUUGAACCGCAUGGUUCAAUAGUGAAAGACGGUUUUGCUGUCACUUAUAGAUGGAUCCGCGCCGCAUUAGCUAGUUGGUAAGGUAACGGCUUACCAAGGCAACGAUGCGUAGCCGACCUGAGAGGGUGAUCGGCGACACUGGAACUGGGACACGGUCCAGACUCCUACGGGAGGCAGCAGUAGGGAAUCUUCCGCAAUGGGCGAAAGCCUGACGGCGCAACGCCGCGUGAGUGAUGAAGGUCUUCGGAUCGUAAAACUCUGUUAUUAGGGAAGAACAAAUGUGUAAGUAACUAUGCACGUCUUGACGGUACCUAAUCAGAAAGCCACGGCUAACUACGUG